rnacentral:rRNA from 1 species
AUCGAUAAUCCACGCUAANUUUUACUCUAUUUUCAAAAUCUAUAUACCGCCAUUUUAAGACUUAAACUUCAAAUAUUUCUCUCAACAUUUUAUAACAAAUUAGGUCAAGGUAUAAUCUACAUUAGAGAUCAAGAUGAAUUACAUUAAAUUAUAUUUAAAGAUUAUAAAUUUAUAUAUUUAUAUAAAUAAGGAUUUAAAAGUAAUAUUAAAAUAAUAAUUUAAUUUGAUAUUGAUAAUAAAUGUGCACACAUCGCCC